AAUAACAUUGAAAUAAUCAUUGUAUCCCGGAGAAGAAAUCUACCUAUCUAUAUUAUAUGAUAAAUUUAGUAAUUUAAAAAUAUUAUUUAUUCAAUAGUAUAAAUUGUUUUAAUUAUCUCUAUUAAUAAUGAUAUAAAUAAAUAAAUAAAUAAAUUUAUAUAGUUGAAUUUGAUUUAUCGUGUUUAUAUAAUCAUCAUUUAUAUGCAAAUAGUAACUCUGUUCAUUAGAUAAACUAAUAUGGCAUCCUAGUAACCUGCCAAAUGAAUCUCAAAAUCACUAAUUUUAUGUACAAAUAAUUUUUGAAUUAGUGGAUUUUUAAAUUUAAAAUUAAUAUUUUUGGAUUUUAUUUAUCAAAAAUUAUUAGAAAACAUAAAAAAAUUAAAAUUUUUUGGUACUCAAAAUGAGUUUAAUUGAAAAAACUAAAUAUUAUAUAUUUAUUUGUGAUUUGAAUUGAUACAAAGAUAAAAACAUGUUUAUGUUCUUGAAACAAAUUGAAACUAUCUUUUGUAAUUUCUUGCUGCUAGGAAAGUUCUGUUGUGUGUUGAUUAUAUAGUUUGAUAUUAUAUAGUUUCAAUCAAAAACAAAAUUAAAAGUUAUUUUUAGAUUUUACAGUAUAAAAAUAAAAAAAAUGUUUUUUCAAAUUGAAAAUAUUAAUAAUUUAUAUUGAUAAAUAAAUAUUAAAUUUUUUAUAAUCUAAAAUGAGAAAUAUAAAUUUUUAAAUUUUAAUCAAAAACAAUAUGAAAUAUAUAAUUUUAAUUUUUUUUUAAUUUCAUAAUUGUCAAAAACACAAAUAUUUUCAAAUAUAGGAAAAUAUUUUCAUUAUUUAUUAAUGCUAAUUUUUAAAUUUUUAUAUUUUUUUUCAAAAUUAUUUCUUUCUUUUAAUUAAUCCAAUAAUUGCACUUUCUUAGAUUGUUCCAUAUUAUUUUUAAAACUGUUUAAUAUUAUAUUAUAUUAUAUAAUUCAUAUAAUAUUUAAAUAUUUCUUUUCAAAAAUUAUCAAUCAAAUUUAUAAUAUAAUAAUAAAUAUAAUUAUAUAUAAGAAUAUAAAAAAUGAUUCAUAUCAUAUAUUGCUUUUAUAAUUAUUAUUUUAUAUAAAAGAAGCUAUUUAUGUAAUCCAAAUUGUUGCGUAGGAUCAUAUAUUAUCUCGAAUUGCUUUUUUCAAGCAAAAAUUUAAAUUAAAACCUCCAACAUUGAAAAUGUAUUAAAAAUGUUAUCUAAAUAAAAUAGAUAUCAUUAAUAAAUGAAUUUUUAAGAUGAAUUUAAGAUUAUAUUAAAGAAGAAUUAAAAUUUGCAUUAUUAUUUGCAUUUGUUAUUAUUUGGUAUGAUUUGGUAUAUUAUUUGGUAGUUAUACCAAUAAUUUAAUGAAUGAGCAAUUUUGGCUUUUGUAUUUGUGCCUUUUUUUUUUUAUUUAUUUUUAAAUUUAUUUAAAAGAAAAAUUCAUUUUGCUGCAAAUAAAAAAAUUGAAAUAUAUUCUUAUCAAGAAUUGCUGUAUGAUGAUUAACUCUUAUAUAUAUCUUGAAACAUAUAUUCAUUUACUUAUUUUAUAAAAACAUUUGUAAAUAUUUAUACGGAUGCUUUUGUUAAAUAUAUAAUUUUUUUUUAUAUUGAUCUGUAUAUCACUCAUGCAUAAAUGCAUAGAGGGUAAUCUAUAUUAUUAUUAUUAUUAUUAUUAACUUAUUAUAAUAUAUUAUAUUUUUUUAUUAUAAUAUAAUUAUAAUUAUAUUAUUAAUAAUGAUAAAUAUCUUAUGAAAAAAUAUAUAUAAAAAAAUAUUUGUAAUCAUUAAUAAUAUAUUUUUUUAUACAAUGCAUCAAUUCUAUUUUAUAAUGAUUGAAAGAAAAAUGCAUAGUCCAAUGCACGAAAACUAUACAUAACUAUAAAUAAAAAUAUCUUAUUUGCAAACA